rnacentral:rRNA from 1 species
UAGUCCACGCCGUAAACGAUGUCAACUAGCCGUUGGGAGCAAUUAAGCUCUUAGUGGCGCAGCUAACGCGAUAAGUUGACCGCCUGGGGAGUACGGCCGGCAACGGUAAAACUCAAAAUGAAAUUGACGGGGGCCCGGCACAAGCGGUGGAGCAUGUGGUUUAAUUCGAUGCAACGCGAAAAACCUUACCUACCCUUGACAUCCUCAGAACUUGUUAGAGAUAACUUGGUGCCUUCGGGAACUGAGUGACAGGUGCUGCAUGGCUGUCGUCAGCUCGUGUCGUGAGAUGUUGAGUUAAGUCCCGCAACGAGCGCAACCCUUGUCCCUAGUUGCCAGCACGUAAAGGUGGGAACGUCUAGGGAGACUGCCGGUGACAAACCGGAGGAAGGUGGGGAGUGACGUCAAGCCAUCAUGGCCCUUAUGGGUAGGGCUACACACGUGCUACAAUGGUCGGUACAAAGGGUUGCCAAGCCGCGAGGUGGAGCUAAUCUCAUAAAACCGAAUCGUAGUCCGGA